UACGAGAGGCCCAAACGUUAUUCGGAUUUACUGGGCUUAAAGAGUUCGUAGGCGGCGCAGAAAGUAGGGUGUGAAAGCCCUCGGCUCAACCGAGGAAUUGCGCUCUAAACUACUGUGCUUGAGGGACCUAGAGGUGAGCAGAACUGAUGGUGGAGCGGUGAAAUGCGUUGAUAUCAUCAGGAAUACCGGAGGCGAAGGCGGCUCACUGGGGGUCUUCUGACGCUGAGGAACGAAAGCCAGGGGAGCGAACGGG
rnacentral:rRNA from 1 species